UACCUGCAGCUCAAGUGGUGACCGCUAUUAUUGGGCCUAAAACGUUCGUAGCCGGUUUGGUAAAUGCCUGGGUAAAUCGUGUAGCUUAACUAUACGAAUUCCGGGUAGACUGUCAAACUUGAGACCGGGAGAAGCUAGAGGUACUCCUGGGGUAGAGGUGAAAUUCUGUAAUCCUGGGGGGACCACCAGUGGCGAAGGCGUCUAGCUAGAACGGGUUUGACGGUGAGGAACGAAGCCCUGGGGCGCGAACCGGAUUAGAUACCCGGGUAGUCCAGGGUGUAAACGCUGCUUGCUCGAUGUUAGUUGGGCUCCGAGCCCAAUUAGUGUCGGAGAGAGGUUGUUAAGCAAGCUGCCUGGGAAGUACGAUCGCAAGAUUGAAACUUAAAGGAAUUGGCGGGGGAGCACAGCAACGGGUGGAGCGUGCGGUUU
rnacentral:rRNA from 1 species